UACGUAGGGGGGCGAGCGUUGUCCGAAGUUACUGGGCGUAAAGCGCGCGUAGGCGGUCCUUUAAGUCCGGGGUGAAAGGUUCAGCGCUCAACGUGAACAGUGCCCUGGAGACUGGGGGGACUUGAGUGUGGGAGGGGGCAGUGGAAUUCCUGGUGUAGCGGUGAAAUGCGUAGAUAUCUGGAGGAACACCGGUGGCGAAGGCGACAUCCUGGACCGGUAUUGACGCUGAGGCGCGAAAGCCAGGGGAGCAAAC
rnacentral:rRNA from 1 species